UGGGGAUGACGUCAAGUCCUCAUGGCCCUUUAUGACCAGGGCUACACACGUACUACAAUGGCCGAUACAAAGGGCAGCGACACUGCGAGGUGAAGCCAAUCCGUAAAAUCGGUCUCAGUCCGGAUUGGAGUCUGCAACUCGACUCCAUGAAGUUGGAAUCGCUAGUAAUCGUGGAUCAGCAUGCCACGGUGAAUACGUUCCCGGGCCUU
rnacentral:rRNA from 1 species